rnacentral:rRNA from 1 species
UACGUAGGGUGCAAGCGUUGUCCGGAAUUAUUGGGCGUAAAGAGCUCGUAGGCGGUUCGUCGCGUCGGCUGUGAAAACCCGGGGCUCAACCCCGGGCCUGCAGCCGAUACGGGCAGACUAGAGUUCGGCAGGGGAGACUGGAAUUCCUGGUGUAGCGGUGAAAUGCGCAGAUAUCAGGAGGAACACCGGUGGCGAAGGCGGGUCUCUGGGCCGAUACUGACGCUGAGGAGCGAAAGCGUGGGGAGCGAACAGG